rnacentral:rRNA from 1 species
GAUGAACGCUGGCGGCGUGCCUAAUACAUGCAAGUCGAGCGAACAGAUGAGGAGCUUGCUCCUCUGACGUUAGCGGCGGACGGGUGAGUAACACGUGGAUAACCUACCUAUAAGACUGGGAUAACUUCGGGAAACCGGAGCUAAUACCGGAUAAUAUAUUGAACCGCAUGGUUCAAUAGUGAAAGACGGUUUUGCAGUCACUUAUAGAUGGAUCCGCGCCGCAUUAGCUAGUUGGUAAGGUAACGGCUUACCAAGGCAACGAUGCGUAGCCGACCUGAGAGGGUGAUCGGCCACACUGGAACUGAGACACGGUCCAGACUCCUACGGGAGGCAGCAGUAGGGAAUCUUCCGCAAUGGGCGAAAGCUUGGCGGAGCAACGCCGCGUGAGUGAUGAAGGUCUUCGGAUCGUAAAACUCUGUUAUUAGGGAAGAACAAAUGUGUAAGUAACUAUGCACGUCUUGACGGUACCUAAUCAGAAAGCCACGGCUAACUACGUG